CAUGUGAACAUUCUUUGUGGAGAGAAACAGGGGAUUGAUUUGAACAGGCGUCUAAGUGAGACUGUAAAAAUGAACAGCACUCACGUACUCACCCUUAUUCUUCUCCAAGGGGCAGGUCAAUCAUAAUCCCGACGAUCGAGUUGGCCCUUUUUCCCCCUUGUCAAAACAGAAGCGUGGACACAACGAGACAAACAUGACGAAGACGACAAUGGUCUACAAAGGGUUGUCAUUGCAAAAGCAUAAGGAGUGUGCUUACUUCCGAGCUCUAUUGCGCUUUAACCACCAGUCCAACUUUUGACCAUCUUCAAAACUGGAUUUUGGGCCACUUCAAAUAAGGAAAGGAAGAUUCUGCUAUGGUCGUUAUGACGUUGAGCGUACGCAUGAAUUGUCUUCCUAGCUAUUUACAGAUAGGGUCAAUGCCGCGAUAUCCUAAGCGUCGGAGGUGCUAUCUUGGUCCUUUGCACCUCCUUCGCCGGAUAUCUGGCCAUGCCUCAGGUUUAUCCCGAUGGUCAGAG